rnacentral:rRNA from 1 species
UACGUAGGCAGCAAGCGUUGUUCGGAGUUACUGGGCGUAAAGGGUGUGUAGGCGGUUCUUUAAGUUUGCUGUGAAAUCUCCCGGCUUAACCGGGAGGGUGCGGUGAAUACUGAGGGACUAGAGUACGGGAGAGGAAAGUGGAAUUCCUGGUGUAGCGGUGAAAUGCGUAGAUAUCAGGAGGAACACCGGUGGCGAAGGCGGAUCUCUGGGCCAUAACUGACGCUGAGGAGCGAAAGCAUGGGGAGCGAACAGG